rnacentral:lncRNA from 1 species
GUUGAAAGUAUGUAAAGUGUUGUAGGAAGAAUUUUGCAAAAGAUUUAAUGACUGGAGAAUUUCAGGAAAAAUAUCAAAAGUCAUAGGUACUUGGGGACAGGAAAUUUUUUUUCUCCCUCCUGUAUUUCCCAAAUUCCCAUUUUUUUGUUUUCUAUUAAUUUCAAUAUGAACAUACAUUUAGUAUAUUGAGAACAUUCAAGUCAGGAGCCUGUGAUUCAGUGGUUGUCGUUUGUUCAUGUCUUACAUUUUUUUUCGUUGUUUAUUGUACAUAAAUAAAGCCGUUUAUAUAUAUAGUUUUCUCGUUUGAAUUGUUUUACAUUGGGUUUCGGGGCUUUUUAUAACUGACUUUGUGGUAUGGGCUUUGCUCAUUGUUGAAGACCGUACGGUGACCUAUAGUUGUAAGUUUCUGUGUCAUUUUGGUCUCUUGUGGAGAGUUGUCUCAUUGGCAAUCAUACCACACCUUCUUUUUUUUUGUUAUAAUGAAUUUUUGUAAAAAAUUUAAUUGAUGGAGAAUUUCAGAAAAGGUAUCAAAAGUCAGGUGCUUUGGGACAAGACAAUACACCUUAUUGCUAUUUGUCCGCCAUUACUGGGUAUCACACAGGUUCCCGCAAAACUUUGACGUCACAAUACAAAAUAUCUGACGCCACAAUGGAAAAGUGAUUGUUGUAUGCGUCCAAAUUUCAAGCGGCCCGGUCAGCCGGGAUUAGCUUUAAGGUGUAUUGUUUUCCUAGCCCUGCUCCUCCUUUAUUUUUAAAAAAUUCCCUUUUUUUUUUUAUUUCUAUUAACAUUAAUAACACAUGCAUACUUUUAGCGCUGAACAUUCAUUACUAUAAAUAAAGUGUAUUUGCUUUUUACUUUCAAUUCUCAGGUUAUUUAUCGAUCCACGGCGGUCAUUUCUAUAUUAUACAGACUCUCUCUCUUUUGAGUUAACUCUGUGACCGCCGUGGAUAGUAAACUUAAAAAAAGAUAGCAGAUAGAAAAUACACUUUAUUCGUAGUAUAUGUAUGUUCAAAGAAUACAGAAAAACGCAAACCGGAAAUCUAAUAUGACUUAAAAUUUCGCCCAAUGACGGAAUCAAUAUCCGGAUGCGUUUUUUCUUGUUUUUCUCCCAAAAUAACUCAAUCUGAAUAAUCAUAAAAAUGGAUGACAAAUGCGACUAUGCACUGUACCUAAAGAACACAGAGGCAUGAUGAUUACUUUAUUGUGGAAAGAAGAGAAGCG